GGGACAGUACUUUAAAAAAAAGAUUUAAUUUGCAUUUAAAUAAUAGGAAUUUUAUCCUCUAUCCCA